AUAAAGACUCUGAAGACAGGGAGACAAAACAACAACAAGAUUCAGAAGUUCCAUCUCAGCCUGCCUCCCAUAGUGGUCUGACAAACCAAAUGAACCCGGCAACCAAAAGUGAACAGAAUGGCCAGGGCCAGAGCACUGGUAGCGAGAAUGACACAGCCGGUGAAAGGAGCAAAUCUCUGAGUGACACAACUUUGUAUGUUCAAAACAACACGAGUGAACAGCCUUCAAAUGAUCUAAAAGAUGAAGUGGAGAAAUUAACAGAUUCCUCUCCGAGUCUCAGAACAAACAUGGUGUGCAUGAGAUACCGAAAAGAUCGAGAAGAAACCACAAGAUAAAGACUCUGAAGACAGGGAGACAAAACAACAACAAGAUUCAGAAGUUCCAUCUCAGCCUGCCUCCCAUAGUGGUCUGACAAACCAAAUGAACCCGGCAACCAAAAGUGAACAGAAUGGCCAGGGCCAGAGCACUGGUAGCGAGAAUGACACAGCCGGUGAAAGGAGCAAAUCUCUGAGUGACACAACUUUGUAUGUUCAAAACAACACGAGUGAACAGCCUUCAAAUGAUCUAAAAGAUGAAGUGGAGAAAUUAACAGAUUCCUCUCCGAGUCUCAGAACAAACAUGGUGUGCAUGAGAUACCGAAAAGAUCGAGAAGAAACCACAAGAUAAAGACUCUGAAGACAGGGAGACAAAACAACAACAAGAUUCAGAAGUUCCAUCUCAGCCUGCCUCCCAUAGUGGUCUGACAAACCAAAUGAACCCGGCAACCAAAAGUGAACAGAAUGGCCAGGGCCAGAGCACUGGUAGCGAGAAUGACACAGCCGGUGAAAGGAGCAAAUCUCUGAGUGACACAACUUUGUAUGUUCAAAACAACACGAGUGAACAGCCUUCAAAUGAUCUAAAAGAUGAAGUGGAGAAAUUAACAGAUUCCUCUCCGAGUCUCAGAACAAACAUGGUGUGCA